rnacentral:tRNA from 1 species
GCCAGCGUGACGGAAUCGGUAGACGUAUCGCCGCAGCGAUCCUCGGCAAUCGUCGGGGUGCGGGUUCGAUCCCCGCCGCUGGCC